rnacentral:rRNA from 1 species
AUACGUAGGGGGCGAGCGUUGUCCGGAAUUACUGGGCGUAAAGGGCGUGUAGGCGGCCUGUUAAGUCAGGCGUGAAAACCCUGGGCUUAACCUGGGGACUGCGUUUGAAACUGGUAGGCUUGAGGGCAGGAGAGGAAAGUGGAAUUCCCGGUGUAGCGGUGAUAUGCGUAGAUAUCGGGAGGAACACCAGUGGCGAAGGCGGCUUUCAGGACUGCACCCGACGCUGAGGCGCGAAAGCCAGGGGAGCGAACGGGAUUAGAUACCCCGGUAGUCCUGGCCGUAAACGAUGGGUACUAGGUGUGGGAGGUAUCGACUCCUUCCGUGCCGGAGUUAACACAAUAAGUACCCCGCCUGGGGAGUACGGCCGCAAGGCUGAA